UCGGGAAUUUUGGGCAAUGGGCGCAAGCCUGAUCCAGCCAUGCCGCGUGAGUGAAGAAGGCCUUAGGGUUGUAAAACUCUUUCGCCGGGGAAGAUAAUGACGGUACCCGGAGAAGAGGCUCCGGCUAACUUCGUGCCAGCAGCCGCGGUAAUACGUAGGGUGCAAGCGUUAAUCGGAAUUACUGGGCGUAAAGCGUGCGCAGGCGGUUAUGCAAGACAGGUGUGAAAUCCCCGGGCUUAACCUGGGAACUGCACUUGUGACUGCAUAGCUGGAGUACGGCAGAGGGGGAUGGAAUUCCGCGUGUAGCAGUGAAAUGCGUAGAUAUGCGGAGGAACACCGAUGGCGAAGGCAGUCCCCUGGGCCUGUACUGACGCUCAUGCACGAAAGCGUGGGGAGCAAACAGGAUUAGAUACCCGUGUAGUCCCUGAGCGGGCUGGCAAGGCGCAU
rnacentral:rRNA from 1 species